rnacentral:rRNA from 1 species
GACGGAGGAUGCAAGCGUUAUCCGGAAUGAUUGGGCGUAAAGCGUCCGCAGGUGGCAGUUCAAGUCUGCUGUCAAAGACCGGGGCUUAACUUCGGAAAGGCAGUGGAAACUGAACAGCUAGAGUAUGGUAGGGGCAGAGGGAAUUCCUGGUGUAGCGGUGAAAUGCGUAGAGAUCAGGAGGAACACCAAUGGCGAAGGCAGCUCGCUGGGACGUGACUGACGCUGAGACGCGAAAGCGUGGGGAGCAAACAGG